rnacentral:rRNA from 1 species
GAAUUUUGGACAAUGGGCGAAAGCCUGAUCCAGCAAUGCCGCGUGCAGGAUGAAGGCCUUCGGGUUGUAAACUGCUUUUGUACGGAACGAGAAGCUUUGGGUUAAUACCCUGGAGUCAUUACGGUACCGUAAGAAUAAGCACCGGCUAACUACGUGCCAGCAGCCGCGGUUACACGGAGGGUGCAAGCGUUAAACCGGAAUCAUGGGGGGAAAGCGUGCGGAGGCGGUUUUGUAAGGAAGAGGUGAAAACCCCGGGCUCAACCCGGGAACCGCCUUUGGGACUGGAAGGCUAGAGUACGGCAGAGGGGGGUGGAAUUCCGCGUGUAGCAGUGAAAUGCGUAGAUAUGCGGAGGAACACCGAUGGCGAAGGCAACCCCCUGGGCCUGUACUGACGCUCAUGCACGAAAGCGUGGGGAGCAAACAGG